GUCUAAAAGAAUUGUAUAAUAAAAAGAUGAUUACACUUACAAUUUUAUGUUUGUGCGUUACGAAGUAACGUCGUCUAAGUUUAACGUCGUCAAACACUCAGCGUUAGCGUUACUUUAUGUAACGCAAAGAAACACGUUAUAAAUUGCGUUAAAUAAGCUUACAAAAUAUGAUUUUUUAGUAAUAUACAAUUUAACUCAUAUUUAACGUUUGCUUAACGCAACGUUCGUUAUGUCUUAUAUUAAAAUAUACUUACGGAAUACGAAAUCGUAAAACGUAUGUUAUGAGCUCUAUAACGCAUGCGUUAUAACUAUGGAUGCAGUCGAAUAGACGCUAAAAGUUCUUCGAAGCGUUUCGAGUACGGUCGAUUUAACAUUUGGAAACGUUUCAGCAGUAUUAAUGACGUCAUUGAAACGUCAUAGAUAUCCCCUUCCAUUUCGCUUCCAAUGCUACAGCCGGAGAGGUAGUACGGCUAAAGCGUUUAUUUGAAUCCUUGCAAAACGCGGGAAAUGGGGAAUUGCGUGCUAACAACAAGUAAAUUGUACAAGGUAUUGGGUGUAUAUAUGUAAUAUGUGAUAUAUAUAUUUAUAAAUUGAUGUGCAAAAUGCCAAAUCUUUCGUUAUUCGAUCCAAUCAGCCAAAAUACUUACAUUCUACAAGUGUCAGAAGAGGAACUCUCAAAAACUAAUAAAGAUAUGUUGUUUGCAACGCAUCUAUUGCAAAAAAAAUUGAAUCAAACUCAGACAAUUAAUGAAUCAGAAGCUUCAACGUCUUCUUAUGAUGAUAAUAUACAGCAUGACAAUGAGAAAGUGCGGGAACUUUCUGACUUUGAUGAAAAAGAUGGCUUUCGUUGGCCUCAUGAAGCAAUUCUUUUACUUCUUUCUAUAUACCAAAAGCAUGAAGAUAAAAUGACAUCUGGUAAAUAAGAUGCCAGUAAAAAAGUUUUGGGAUUUGAUUUCUAGUCUAUUAAUCGAAAAAGGCCACAAUAUUACUGGUACACAAUGCAAAAGUAAAAUGGCUGGCUUAAAAAAUACAUAUAAAAAUGUCAAGGAUCAUAAUGCAAAGAGCGGUAAUAAUACUCGAACAUGGCGAUAUUUUAAUGUUAUGGAUGAAAUAUUCAACAAAAAAUCAUGGAUGGCUCCAAUUUCUACAUUAGAUUCUGGUAAUCCAAUUCCGAUAUCUUCUGUAGAGGAUAAUAAUAAUGAAAACAUUCCGCCUUCAAUGAGAGCUAAACUGCCUAUCAAACGGAAAAUAAAGCAUACUAUGUUGUAACAAAUGCUUAAGGAAAACAUAAUAGCACGAAAAAAGAUGCAUGAAGAAGCAAUGGCACGACAAGAUAAAUUACUUGAUAUGUUGGGCAAAUUACUUGAGAAAUAACGUAUGGCAUGAGUUGUUUAUUCUGAAGAAGACUGAUUACAUUUAACAUAAUUAUUUUUCUAUAUUACAAUUGUUAAAGUAAUAAUUGAUUCUAAGAAAACUGUUUUAUAAUUAUUUAAGAGGAAAUUUUUGUGUGUGUUGUAGUUUAUUUGUUUUAUGUUACAGUUUUUUUCGUACUAUUAGCAAAGAAAAUAUUUUAAUUUUUGUUAUUACAAACAAAGAGGUUUUUUAUAAUAUCAAUAUGUGAUAAUAUAUAUAAGUUGAAGACAAUAU